UACGUAGGGUGCGAGCGUUAAUCGGAAUUACUGGGCGUAAAGCGUGCGUAGACGGUUUCGUAAGUCGGGUGUGAAAUCCCCGGCUCAACCUGGGAAUUGCAUUCGAAACUGCGAGGCUAGGGUACGGAAGAGGGAAGCGGAAUUUCUGGUGUAGCGGUGAAAUGCGCAGAUAUCAGGAGGAACACCGGUGGCGAAGGCGGGUCUCUGGGCCGAUACUGACGCUGAGGAGCGAAAGCGUGGGGAGCAAACAGG
rnacentral:rRNA from 1 species